CCUAAAUGUAUGACUUGGAUGGAAUGUAGUCACAUUGACACUCAUACCACAUCUUCUUACAUCGAUGUGUAGGGUACUUUU
rnacentral:sRNA from 1 species